UUCAUUUACCAAUUUCAGGUGCCAUGGCAUGGCCCUGUCUGUAUUCUUUUUCUUUAACCCUUAACAACUACUUUAUUAUACAAACUGUUUUUUUACAAUACUUUAUUAUAUAGUCUAGUUAGUAAGCCACAAAAGUAAGUAAAUAAAUAAAGUUGAAACAAGACAUGUUUUGUCAUCAUGCACGUGACAUUGUCCAAUUUCAAAAGGGUGACUUUUUCCAAGUAUCAAAAAAUUGUCCUGAUAAAUGCAUCAACAUAUAUUCUAUAUAAAUAAAUCAAUUGAAGUCCAAACCACCCAUGUGCCAAGUUUAUAACAUACCAAUGGGAGACUUUAAACAUAAAAAGUUGCCUUAAACAAAUACUCAUAUCUUGUAGGAUCAAACACUAUAAUCCCAUUUAGCCUUCAUGAUGAUCCCUUGCUGACUCAUCCCACAAAAAGUCAACAGUGACAUUGUUUCCUCUUUAAGUCUUUUAGAUUACAAGGACUCAUCAACCAAAAAAAUUACAAGAGCUCCUCAAUACUUUUCACAAGUUAGUAGCCCUCAAAGAUUCUAACUUCAGAUACACAAGGAAGAAGACAUCAUUCCUUCAUGAGCUACUUAAUGGAAUUUCUAUCACCUCAACUCAUUCAGAUAAUUAAACAUGAUCGAACAAACAAAGUUGUUCCCUGAAGUUUAAAACCCAAUAUACAGAUAAUUAAACAUGGCUAAAAAAUUUGUUAAAAUCUGCAAGGACAUUUCAAUAUCAGAUGAAAGAAACUAAUUUGACUAUUAUUCAUUUAAUAAAAAAUACAGAGUUCCGUUUGGUCUCAUCUGUUACUUACUUUUCUAUUAACCAUGUUAAGUGUUGAAUGAUAAGGACAAAGGUGACUACUAAUAUGUAAUGGUGCUUAUUUUAGUUAGCAUAUGUGUCUGCUGUAUAAAGUUAUCAAAUUUACUUAUAAUCUAGCUCUAAGAACACCUCUAUAAACCUAGUGGGGUAGGAGCAUUCUGCCGGAUAUCCUUUUGGAUUGACUAAGAAGUCUUAUUUACUGUGAGCCGCACCGUGUUUUAACCGAAAAACCUUCUUGAGCAAUUCAUGUAUUCCUGUUUUUAUGACCUGAUAUUUUUUUCUUUGAUUUACAUUUCAAAUAGUUCUGUGGAUUUUAAUCAAUAUGCGUUGAUCUUAACACAGUCAAUAAGACUCGUGAUUCAAGCAAUCCGAUCCUUCAAUCCACUAAUGAAUGAUAAUUCAACUAUAAAAACAAAAACUUUCAGUUAAGCCACAAAUGAUCAUAAUCUAUUGAAUCUUAAUGUUCGUCAUGGCAACAUGGAGAUUCCAGCUGAGGACUUGUGACAAUAUUCAUCUAAACUUGAGAAAUCGCCUUUUCGAUAUAUUUGAAAGUUUUCUGAUAUUUGAAGACACCCAAAAACUUGUGAUUAUAAUUAUGUCCUUUUGUGUUGGCUUCUCAACAUUUUGACUUUGAUUGCUUGGUUUGGUUGCUUUUAGAAAAAGAUGUCAAAGAAAGAUUCAAGUCAGGUUUCUUUUUAAACAAAUCCUUUAAUGGGUUUGUUUUUAGAGGCUAGGAGAAAGGUUGAUUUAUAUCUCUAUUGGUGCAAAGUUUCAUGGUGUAUUGGCUUGCUAUCCCCCAAGUAUAAGGAAAUUAUACCAGAAAAAGUAAAGAAUGAAAUACUUUUGAACUACGCAUGCUUUUGUAACUGGAGAUGAAUCACCAGAGCUUUAUGAUCUGGAAUUCUAACUUUAUGAUAUGGUAAGUUCUCUAAAUUAUCUUGUGAUAGGGUAAUAAAGAAAAAGGUAAAAUGGUUUCCAUGUUUGACCAACUGAUAUCUGAGAUUCCAUAACUUCUUAAACUUUUGGUAGGCAACAUACACCACUGACAUGUGAAUAUGCAAUAUGCAACAAAUAAAAGAAAAUAUGGUGUAGAAAAUUUGACCAUUCAUUUAAAGUUUCAAAUUAUCACAACAUGCGGGGGCAUGGGGAUGAUGUGGUAAUGAUUUGGCAAGUGCCAAGAGUCGGCAUCAAAGACCUUACACAAACACCAGAUACAAUACCUAAUAAUUUAACAAAAUAAAAAUGAUCGAAUAGAACCACAUAUAUCGGUGUCAUGCUUGUGUCGAACAACAAUAUGUAUCCAACUCUAAACAUGCCUUCAAUCUAAAGUGUCCGUGCUACAUAGGUCAGUCGUCAAUGCACAAAGUCAAUAGCUGGCCUCAGGCCAGAUUUUAAUUUCUGAUCCAUUUCUAGCUUCUGCCAAACACAAUUUCACGUUCAAUAACUGUAUCCUUAUUACCAUAGCCCUGUCAGAAAGCUAACUUUAUGAUACAUAACUUGUAUGCAUGGCCUCCCUCUAAAAACAUGGUCCAUUUGGAAAAUACAAUAGUCAAUGUAGAAUGAUGUGGAUGCACAUGGAAAUGAUUUUGUGAUUCCCUUCUCCAAGAACAUGGGUGCUCCAUCUCUUAAGAUACAAUGUUUGUGGUCCUCCCAAUUUCUUCAAAUGAAGGCCAUUCCAAAUUAAACAACAUUAAAGUGAUGAUAUCUAAUCCAAUCCAAACAGAAAGUGGCCACAUCAGUAGCAUGUGUGCUUGUCUAUUCUAUUCUUCCUUUGACCCAUUAACUACAAUUUGUAUUUAGCUAUAUGUUGAUUUUGUACUUCAAUUAAUUACUAUCCAUAAAAUUCUGAAAUCUCUCUUAGAACUUUCACACACAUCAGAACUUUGGGCUUGAGAACCUCAGGAAAUUUUCAUUGCAGUGAAAAUCAAGUUGAGCAGUGUGUUGAUUGCCAACAGUGACAGCCAUAUGGGAAUUUAAGAGAGGUGUAGCAUCAGAAAGGCUUAAUUCCAGCUCACAAAGGUGUAAUGACUCCCUUUUAUUAGUGUCAACCAAAGUAUGUUUUGUCAUAAACAUUCAAUCUUCAAACUCUUCAUUUUCAAAAUCUUCAAACGACGGGGAGAAGCUGUUGAAAGCAUCUCAGUGUUACCUAUCAACCACAUCAGGUCUUAUAGCUGGCCUCCUCUUCAUUUCCACUCACAAAAUUGCUUUCUGUAGUGACAAAUCCAUCAAAAUUUCUUCCUCGAAUGGAGAAUUGAUUAGAGUUCACUAUAAGGUCUCUAUUCCACUUGAAAAGAUACAACAAGUCAACCAAAGUCAAAAUAUGAUGAAACCGUCAGAAAAAUACAUAGAAAUAGUCACUGUGGAUGGUUUCGACUUCUGGUUUAUGGGUUUCUUCAAUUACAAGAAAGCUUUAAGAUAUCUCCAGCAGGCUAUCUCUCAAGCUCAAAGGGAAAAGGUGAAGAUGUUAAAUGAAAUUGGUAAUAUCUUUGCUUCAUCAAUUAUGCUUUGAAGUUGCAGAGAAUCCAAAAGUGUACAAAUAUUUUACAUUAUUAUGUUAAUACAAAAAGCUAGCUGUUUCAUAAACUUUUGAUACCAUGAUCUAACAAAAAAAGUUGUUCCCUGAA